GGGGACAGUGUGUGAGCAGUGUGUGUGUGUGUGUGUGAAGGUUGUAGUGUGUGAGUAGGGGGGGCAGUGUAUGUCAGGGAUGCAGUGUAUGUGUGGGACAGUAUGUGUGUGUAACAGUUGCAGUGUGUGUGUGAAUGUGGGCAAUGUGUGUGUAUGGGGCGGCAGUGUAUGGGGGCAGUGUGUGUGUAUGCGGGGCAGUAUGUGUGUAUGAGGGCAGUAUGUGUAUGGGGGG